AGUGAACGCUGGCGGUAGGCCUAACACAUGCAAGUCGAACGGCAGCACAGUAAGAGCUUGCUCUUACGGGUGGCGAGUGGCGGACGGGUGAGGAAUACAUCGGAAUCUACUUUUUCGUGGGGGAUAACGUAGGGAAACUUACGCUAAUACCGCAUACGACCUACGGGUGAAAGCAGGGGAUCUUCGGACCUUGCGCGAUUGAAUGAGCCGAUGUCGGAUUAGCUAGUUGGCGGGGUAAAGGCCCACCAAGGCGACGAUCCGUAGCUGGUCUGAGAGGAUGAUCAACCACACUGGAACUGAGACACGGUCCAGACUCCGACGGGAGGCAGCAGUGGGGAAUAUUGGACAAUGGGCGCAAGCCUGAUCCAGCCAUACCGCGUGGGUGAAGAAGGCCUUCGGGUUGUAAAGCCCUUUUGUUGGGAAAGAAAAGCAGCAGGUUAAUACCCCGCUGUUCUGACGGUACCCAAAGAAUAAGCACCGGCUAACUUCGUG
rnacentral:rRNA from 1 species